rnacentral:tRNA from 1 species
GGCCUCGUAGCACAGCUGGUAGAGCAUGUUAUCUACUACAACGAAGGCGGCGUCCAUGCGUGGGUUCGAAUCCCACCGAAGCUA